CUUGGUCAUUUAGAGGAAGUAAAAGUCGUAACAAGGUUUCCGUAGGUGAACCUGCGGAAGGAUCAUUAGUGAAUGAGACCUCUGGUUUCAAACACCUGCUGCUUUCAGCUGUGCGCCUUUGGGCUUGCACGUUGGAUGUGGCAUAUUCACACACACCUGUGCACCUUUCAGAUGUCUGGGGCUGAAAAGCCCCAGCGUUUGCCCUUUACACUAAAACACAGUCUUUGAAUGUUAUAUAAACUUAACAAAUACAACUUUCAACAACGGAUCUCUUGGCUCUCGCAUCGAUGAAGAACGCAGCGAAAUGCGAUAAGUAAUGUGAAUUGCAGAAUUCAGUGAAUCAUCGAAUCUUUGAACGCACCUUGCGCUCCAUGGUAUUCCAUGGAGCAUGCCUGUUUGAGUGUCACGUGAAACUAUCACUCUUGUCCUGUCGCAAGACAAGUCAGGAUGUGGACUUGGACUGUGCCGUAGUUGGCUCGUCUUGAAAUGCAUUAGCCGUGCUGGUUAGAAUCGGCCACCUGGUGUGAUAUAUGUCUACGCCUACCGUGCUGUUUCUUCCUGAGUGUGGCUUAUAAUCGUCGCUUGUUCGACAAUACAAAUUAACGCUCUGGCCUCAAAUCAGGUAGGACUACCCGCUGAACUUAAGCAUAUCAAUAAGCGGAGGA
rnacentral:rRNA from 1 species